GCAAUGCCGCGUGAGUGAUGAAGGCCUUCGGGUCGUAAAGCUCUUUUACCAGGGAUGAUAAUGACAGUACCUGGAGAAUAAGCUCCGGCUAACUCCGUGCCAGCAGCCGCGGUAAUACGGAGGGAGCUAGCGUUGUUCGGAAUUACUGGGCGUAAAGAGUACGUAGGCGGUUAUUCAAGUCAGAGGUGAAAGCCCGGGGCUCAACCCCGGAACUGCCUUUGAAACUAGAUAACUAGAGUCUUGGAGAGGUUAGUGGAAUUCCGAGUGUAGAGGUGAAAUUCGUAGAUAUUCGGAAGAACACCAGUGGCGAAGGCGACUAACUGGACAAGUACUGACGCUGAGGUACGAAAGCGUGGGGAGCAAACAGGAUUAGAUACCCUGGUAGUCCACGCCGUAAACGAUGAUGACUAGUUGGUCGGUCACUUGGUGACUGAGUGACGCAGCUAACGCAUUAAGUUAUCCGCCUGGG
rnacentral:rRNA from 1 species